GUUCCUCUGGACUUCUUUGACAGAAAAUGUGAAGAACAAAAAGCCCUCCAGGCAGUGAGAAGAAUCACUGUGAUUCAUCCCAUGGAGCAAUUUGAAUUGUCUUCUGGAACAUGAAUAACUGUUUCUGCUGACUGGCAACUUCUUUGUUUGAAGGUCUCUCAGGCUACUGUUCUUCUAAGCUAUUUCUAACCACCUACACUCUCCAAGAAAGGCAGAAAAUCUGUGCCACUGCAAGAGACCACUCUUGCCCUUGAUAACUAUCCAGACCAGACUGAGCUAUCAGGCCUGGAUGAUCCAUGCACAGCAAAAGAACAAUUCUACAGCAGCAACGGAGACAAAGCUGACUCCUCUGUCACUGGCCACUGAAUCAGAACAUGGUUUUCCAGGGAGAGAGAAAGAUGUUGUGAGAGAGGAUAAGGUUAGGAGAGCUUUCAUGAGAAUGUGGCUGAGCUAGGGAUAACUGCUUCCCUAUUAAACUCAGCUCUGUAUUCUUAGGAUCCCUUUUUAUUGCUGUCAAGCAGGAAAGCAUUAUAUGACUCACUUUACAGCUCAUAUCUGAAAAUUGACUGGCAGCCUAAGUGAAGCUAACUGGUCAUUGUCGUAUGAUGUGCAUGUUAAGAUGACAGGAACAGGAAGCUGGAGAGUACCCAGAAACAGGCUUAGCAGCAGAAGUCUGUAUUCUCUCAAAAUCCUUCUCUUGUGUGUUCCUACAUAUCUAGCCCUUUCCGGACUGUGCUCAGCCUUUCUGUGCAAGUCAGGAGCUGCAAAAGUGCUGUUCAUUAGGAUGAACUCUUUGUGCUCUGAAGAGGCUUCAAAACAAGUCAGUAAGCAACAUAGCUACCCCAAGCACCAAAGAUCAGAGUAUGCUGCAGGCUCCACUGGGGAAGGUUAUAGCAUGCAGUGAGAACAGAGUUCAAAGUGGGUGAUGCUCUUGCAAAUGAGUAGCAGAAGACCUGCUAUUCUCUAAACCUGAAACAUUCUCUAAACCUGAAACAAGCCUGGUUGCUGCAGUCAGCUUGCAAGGUCUUCUGUGUGAAGUGUCUUACUGACAGUGAAAACUACCAUUUUCUGUAGGAAAUCUUCUGGUAAUUAAUCAUAUUUUCUAUUUUCCCCAUUAAUUCUACUAUAAUCUGAUCAUGCCCGAUACAGCUUUCCAAGGACUUUUAACUGCAACUCUUCCACCACCAUUCACUGAAUAUCAGUCAGGUGAGAUUGUUGCACUGGCCAAGAAAAAACAUUUAAGACUUGCACUGGAUUUUCAGACUGAAAGGGGUAAGCCUGGGAUGACAACAUGCCUGAUGCUGUCUUAGAGAUAUCAUCUAUAACUAGGUAUUUGUUAUUUUGAUUGAUGUGUUCAUAUGCUUCCAGGUAAACACAAAUGUUAAAAUGUUAAAAUGUUAAAAUUAAUAGUUAAUUAGAGGAACUACUGGCCAUAACAACAAUAAUUGAAUAUUAUGGUAGCAACAAUGGUUUUUGUGCACUCACUGAUCACUAAUGUCUCCUGUCUCCUUUGUUUGUGCAGACUGCUCAAAGAACUGUCUAUUCCUCACAUUUACCAAGCUGCUCCAGAUGGGGACUCUGAAGGAAUGGAGUGAAAGUAAUACCAAGGAAAUUGUUCAAAAUUUGUUCAUGAAGAAAACAAGCUCGAGAGGGACAAGGGAUGUUCAGGCUCCAUUCCACUUUCCUUCACAGUGGCUUUUUCGUAAUUCAAAUGUCAUAGGCUAGAUCAGUAUAUUUACAAUGAGCUCUUCAGUCUCUUCUUUCAAGGAUCUUGCCUCUUCCAAAAGAGAGAUGUGACAGUUUCAAGUGGAAUGGUUCUUGCAGGUGAUUUUCUUUAUAUGGACAAAGUAAAACCAACAAAACCAGAACAUAAUAAACCUCACAUACCCAGUGAAGAGAAUAAACUU
ensembl:lncRNA